rnacentral:rRNA from 1 species
CCUACGGGUGGCAGCAGUGGGGAAUAUUGGACAAUGGGCGAAAGCCUGAUCCAGCCAUGCCGCGUGUGUGAAGAAGGCCUUCGGGUUGUAAAGCACUUUCAGUGGGGAAGAAAGCCUUGGGGCUAAUACCCUCGAGGAAGGACAUCACCCACAGAAGAAGCACCGGCUAACUCCGUGCCAGCAGCCGCGGUAAUACGGAGGGUGCGAGCGUUAAUCGGAAUUACUGGGCGUAAAGCGCGCGUAGGCGGUCUGAUAAGCCGGUUGUGAAAGCCCCGGGCUCAACCUGGGAACGGCAUCCGGAACUGUCAGGCUAGAGUGCAGGAGAGGAAGGUAGAAUUCCCGGUGUAGCGGUGAAAUGCGUAGAGAUCGGGAGGAAUACCAGUGGCGAAGGCGGCCUUCUGGACUGACACUGACGCUGAGGUGCGAAAGCGUGGGUAGCAAACAGGAGUAGAUACCCGAGUAGUC